rnacentral:lncRNA from 1 species
GUUCACAUUGCUAACCUACAACAGGGCUGAAGGGGAUCAUGUCUACGGUGGUCCAUUUCCAAGACAAAGUGCCUUGAAUCGGCUUAGGUCUGCAAAAUACAGAAGAAACAGGAUAUCCCAGGCCCCUGCUCAGACAGCCGAUGCCUGCUUAUCGGGAUCCCCCUUAGUUGCCCUCACCUGAACCAAAGAAGUUUAGUCUAAGAUAAAAGUUUACCAGUCUGCAAAAUAGCUGGCUUUGUCUGUUCUUAUCAGCCUGCCAGCUACGUAGGUCAUAAGUCAAAUAUUUAAAGAGCCCCAGGGCUAACUAGGAUUGCAAUGCACUGUGGGCUGCAACAAAAUGCAGCAAGACAACCCUAAAAAGACACCUACAGCCCCUGCCCAACAACCAAUAGGUGACAUCUGGGAAGACUGUGACCCCAUAGUGCUCAGCCUAUGAGGAACUGGGGGAGGGACCUGCACACUAAGGGAUAAAGUGCUUGUUAAAACCAUGCUGGAGGCUGGUGCAGUGGCUCACGCCUGUAAUCCCAGCACUUUAGGAGGCCGACGUGAGGCAGGCGGAUCACUUGGGGUCAGGAGUUUGACACCAGCCUGGCCAACCUGGUAAAACCCCAUCUCUAUUGAAAACACGAAAAUUAGCCAGGCGUGGUGGUGAGUGCCUGUGAUCCCAGCUACUCAGGAGGCUGAGGCAGGAGGAUCACUUGGACUCGGGAGGCAGAGUUACAGUGAGCCGAGAUCCUGCCACCGCACUCCAGCCUGGGCGACAGAGAAAGACCCCAUCUCAAAACAACAGCAACAACAACAAAACCGGGCUGGGCGUGCCUUCCCAUCGGACACCCGACCUCGCAAGACUGUCAUUAAAAGUCUCACUCUCGCUGUUCUCUGGGUUGUGAGUCCAUUCUCUGGGUGUGGACAGGCAUUCAGCUCAGUCUACGGCCCGCAGACAGAUUUCCUAGAAAUAACUGCUCCUACUUCUCAACUCUUAACAAAAAGGUCUCUGAAAAGGAAUUUGGAGGAAACAGACUAUUCCAGUGAAUAGUGUACAAGCCUGGGAGAUGCGGACUUUGGUGUAAAAUGAAGGAUGUCCACACGCCGCAUCCCUGACAGAAUCCAAAGGCAGAAGCACCAGCACUCGUGGGUUGUGGCUACACCCGGGGCAGGGCCCCAGCUCAGAUCCCACACGGGUGCAGCCAGCGCCG